rnacentral:rRNA from 1 species
GCAAGUCGAGCGAGAAGUUGGUGCUUGCACCAAUGGACAGCGGCGAACGGGUGAGUAACACGUGAAUAACCUGCCCUUCAGUUGGGGACAACCUUUCUAACGAGAGGCUAAUACCGAAUAUCGUAAUCAUUCGCAUGUUUGAUUACAAAAGGCUUCGGCCGUUGAAGGAUGGAUUCGCGUCUGAUUAGUUAGUUGGUGAGGUAAUGGCUCACCAAGGCGACGAUCAGUAGCCGGCCUGAGAGGAUGAUC